GGGGUACUGUUAUAGCUCGAGCUGGACGGUUGACCUGGCUAAGAUAGCUUGCUCCUUAGCUAGCGGCGGACGGUGAUAAAUGCGUAGGAAUCUGCCUGGUAGUGGGGGAUAACGUUCGGAAACGAACGCUAAUACCGCAUACGUCCUACGGGAGAAAGCAGGGGACCUUCGGGCCUUGCGCUUACAGAUGAGCCUAGGUCGGAUUAGCUAAUCCGGGAGACGAAUGGUUUUCAACGCCAAGGCGCACCAUGCGUAACAGGUAUCGUCGGAUCAUCAGUCACCCUGAAACUGAGACACGCUCCAGAAUCCUACGGGAGGCAGCGAGUGGGUAAUAUUGUUCAAUGGGCGAAAGCCUGAUCCAGCCAUGCCGCGUGUGUGAUGAAGAUCUUCGGAUAGUAAAGCACGUUAAGUGGGGAGGAAGGGCAGUAACCUAAUACGUGAUGGUUUUGACGUAACCGACAGAAUAAGCACCGGCUACCUCUGUGCCAGCAGCCGCGGUAAUACAGAGGGUGCAAGCGUUAAUCGGAAUUACUGGGCGUAAAGCGCGCGUAGGUGGUAUGUUAAGUUGGAUGUGAAAUCCCCGGGCUCAACCUGGGAACUGCAUUCAAAACUGACUGACUAGAGUAUGGUAGAGGGUGGUGGAAUUUCCUGUGUAGCGGUGAAAUGCGUAGAUAUAGGAAGGAACACCAGUGGCGAAGGCCACCAACUGGACUAAUACUGACACUGAGGUGCGAAAGCGUGGGGAGCAAACAGGAUUAGAUACCCUGGUAGUCCACGCCGUAAACGAUGUCAACUAGCCGUUGGAAGCCUUGAGCUUUUAGUGGCGCAGCUAACGCAUUAAGUUGACCGCCUGGGGAGUACGGCCGCAAGAUUAAAACUCAAAUGAAUUGACGAGGUCCAGCACGAGCGGUGCAGCAUGUGCUUUAAUUCGAAGCAACUCGAACAACCUUACCAGGCCUUGACUUCCAAUCUACUUCCUAGGAGAUAGAUUGGUGUCCUUCGGGAAACAUGGAGACAGUUGCUGCAUGGGUGUCGUCAGCUCAUCUCGCGAGAGAUUCGGUCCAGUCCCGUAACGAGGGCGAUGAAUGUCCGUAGUUACAAGGACGUAGUGGUAGGCACGCUAAGGAGACUGCCGAUGACCAAUCGGAGCACGGUCAGGAUGACUUCAAGUCGUCAUGGCCCACACAGCACCUGAGCUAUUAUCGUUCGAAACAGGUCGCGGUACGUGCACAGUGUAUGUCAAGCCGCGAGGUGGAGCUAAUCCCAUAAAACCGAUCGUAGUCCGGAUCGCAGUCUGCAACUCGACUGCGUGACGUCGGAAUCGCUAGUAAUCGCGAAUCAGAAUGCCGCGGUGAAUACGUUCCCGGGCCUUGUACACACCGCCCGUCACACCAUGGGAGUGGGUUGCACCAGAAGUAGCUAGUCUAACCUUCGGGAGGCAGGUUACCAUCCGUGUUCUCAGGCUGGGAAGUAAGCUGUCAGAGCACCGCGUUGCCCG
rnacentral:rRNA from 1 species